UCGUCGUCUUGCUUGCCUUGGACGAGGGUGCGGCGGUGGAAUCGAGCGCACCUUGACCCUCAGACGUCUACGAGCAGUUGCCCCCGCACAAACCCCAGAUGGAAAAACACGCCACCUCCUUGCCAUCUCCGUCUCCCAAUCAAUGCUACCACUGGUGGUCGACGCUCCGCUUCCUGCGGCCCCACCAUCGCAAGCGCCGCCACUGGUGGUCGCCGUGGUUCCGCCAUCUUCGCCACUGCUUCCUCCUGUACACGCCUCCGCCGAUCUUUCGCCGGCGCCUCCGAUCGCCACUGCCGUCCCCACGCCCAUGUCCUCCUACAAAAUCGACCGCUGCUCGACGCUACAUACCCCCCUUCCUUUUUCCUCUCUCCCUCUCUUUACCUGGGGCGAUCUGCCUCGAUGCACAGCCAUUCCGCCCCUGCGCUUGUCGAUCUUUCGCUUUCCCGUAGCCCUAGACGCCAUCCUCACCUGCUAGCGUCAGAUCCCCCGCCCACGACCACCAUCAGCACCGGAUUCGGAGACCUCGCCAUGCCCGCCGCCGCAUACAGCCCACCUCCCGCGGUCGCAGGAAAAUUGUGCGGCCACCGCUGUGCCAAUACCCCCACUGGCGUUGAAACUCUAUCUGUUUGCACCUGUGGUGUCGUUGAGGCAAAACCCCAGCUGCACGUCGGAUGAGCCUACCAACGCCUGGGUCUCCGCCACACGCUCAAGAGAACACGGCCAAUUGAUGCACUGCUCUAUUAAAACUGGAGAGGUAUGGCUUCUCAGUUCUGACUAACAGAAUUUCAAUUCGACAUGGAAAUCAGUGAAGUGAUUGAAGGGGUGAACAAGAUUAAUUGUCAAGCCAAGAAUGGUUUCCACCGCCUUUUUAUUGUCACAACAUGUUGUGGUAAUUAGAUUUACUGUUAGAAGCAACAAGACAACAUGUGCAGCUUAUGCUAAGAGCACUUUCUUACAUUCACUUUUUCUAAAGCUUGGGGAAAAUGAUAUUCUUUUGUCAAGUAGGCCCCCCUGUGGAUUACUUUUCAGUUCACAAGGACUGUCUUCUAAUUGCAGCUUUUCGUCUGGAUUAACAUUAGGCUGAGAGAGGAACCA